GUCGAUUUUAAUUCGUUUUUACUUCAACGAAAAUUAUAAAAAUGAGGACGCAUUAAAACAAUUUAUUGAAGUUAGACGUUGAAAAUUGGUGAUUGAUUUGACUACCGAUUAGAAUAGCUUUGGGCUCUCAAUUCAUGAUACAAAUGGCUGGAAGAAAUAUGUCGAGAUUGGAAAGCUUGCACUAAUAAAAAAUUUCAACCAGGAACCAGCAACAGGAGGGGGUCCACUUAACCAAAUAUAUAUAUCUAAUAGGCCAGCUUUGUGGACUGUACUCUUUAGCUGAUGGAGAACUCCAUAUCAAUAAUAGGGUAUUGUCAUCUGAUGAAGAGAUUAGUACAAUAAAUAAUACAAUAAAUAGACCGGACAAAUAUAAAGGGGAAGAUGACUUUACAUGUGAAAAACCUAGUACAUCUAAACGGGUAUAUAAAAUGAAAUGGUGAAGAUAUAAAAGAAAGCAUUAAAGGAUAUAUUCAAGAUGAUGUAAAAAAUGGAAAAGAGCUCCCUGAUUCUUUUAAAAUGUUUAUUGAAGUAUGCAAAAGAAGUGAUGAUAAAUUGGAUGUAAUAGGAAGCAAUAUAAGACGAGUGUACAAAUCUAUAGACAAUUUAACAAUAAAUAUGUAUAACAAAUUAAAUUAAAAGACAUAAUAAAGAAAUAGAAAUAGCUACUCUUGAAAAAAAUAAUCAUAAAAAGAAAGACUUGGAAAUAAAAGAA